rnacentral:rRNA from 1 species
UACGUAGGUGGCAAGCGUUGUCCGGAUUUACUGGGUGUAAAGGGCGAGUAGGCGGGUCUGCAAGUCAGAUGUGAAAUUUCGGGGCUUAACCCCGAAACUGCAUUUGAAACUGUGGAUCUUGAGUGAUGGAGAGGCAGGCGGAAUUCCCGGUGUAGCGGUGAAAUGCAUAGAGAUCGGGAGGAACACCAGUGGCGAAGGCGGCCUGCUGGACAUUAACUGACGCUGAGGCGCGAAAGUGUGGGGAGCAAACAGGAUUAGAUACCCUGGUA